UUGUCCAAUUUCCCUAUCAAUUUUCAUUGCCACAGAAGAAUCAGGUAUAGGCCCAGAUUUAGGCCAAAGCCAGUCCUGAAAACCAAUGUGUUCUUAAAAGAAAAAAAAAGUAUCACUAUUAAUUUCAAAGUCAAGUCUAUGAUUUAGCAUCAUGAUUUAGACAGAUGCAGCUUACCAGCAGCAAAUCACUUACAUUCUACUUCAAAAAUACUAGGAUGUAUAGGGAUCACAUAAACAUCUUCUAAUACCGUGUCAUCAUUAAGGAGGCAAUAAAUGGAAAUUACUUGUGUGAAUAUUGCUGAUGGGAAUCCUGACAAAGAAAAGAUUUAAACAGCAACAGACCACAUGAGUUGGAAGAAGGGGCCACGGACUCACCCUGUGCUCUGCCCUACAAAGCCUCUCUCUUCAGGACAUGGGCACUGCUGCUGUCACUCAGUGAAGUCCCACAGGACUUCACACCAUUCACAGGGUCCAACAGCCUGUCCAAAGCAGGUAACCUUUACACAGCCACAAAAGCAGAGGAAAUUCCCAGAAGAAUGCCCAGGGAAAGUUCACUUUCACAGUGUCUGCACGUAUCAUCAUCUCCAGGAAGCAGACUGGACAAAGUCUGACCACCAAAGAUAGUGAUUGUGGGGUACAGACACACCCCACGGACCAAGUAUUUGUUUAGGAGAGAACACGUCAUCAGUCUAACAGAUGAGCAAUGAUCCCAGGCACCCUGGAAGGCAACACACCAGUCCUCGUGAGGCACUGCUGUUACCCUGGUCGGGCAAAAUCUCAAUCCUCUCACCAGUCCUAAGUGGUACCUAAAGCACCUUGUGUGGAAGGCACCUGAAAACAUAAUGUUGCGCUAUGGAGCAUUCGCACAGAAAAGAGAGGAGUCGUCGUCAUUCAUUUCCUUGUGUACUUGAAUAAUCAUGGUAAUCAAGAUUGCUCUUUGUUAGCAACCUUCAAUGGGAGAAAAAGUAAUGGAAUGAAACUAAACGGUUCAAUUAGCAGCAGCAAUAAAUGCCAAAUAAAGCCUUUUGACAGUGA